rnacentral:rRNA from 1 species
CUACCUGCAGUCGAGCGGAACGACAACAUUGAAUCUUCGGAGGAUUUGUUGGGCGUCGAGCGGCGGACGGGUGAGUAAUGCCUAGGAAAUUGCCUUGAUGUGGGGGAUAACCAUUGGAAACGAUGGCUAAUACCGCAUAAUGCCUACGGGCCAAAGAGGGGGAUCUUCGGACCUCUCGCGUCAAGAUAUGCCUAGGUGGGAUUACUAGUUGGUGAGGUAAUGGCUCACCAAGGCGACGAUCCCUAGCUGGUCUGAGAGGAUGAUCAGCCACACUGGAACUGAGACACGGUCCAGACUCCUACGGGAGGCAGCAGUGGGGAAUAUUGCACAAUGGGCGAAAGCCUGAUGCAGCCAUGCCGCGUGUAUGAAGAAGGCCUUCGGGUUGUAAAGUACUUCCAGUUGUGAGGAAGGGUGUGUAGUUAAUAGCUGCGCAUCUUGACGUUAGCAACAGAAGAAGCACCGGCUAACUCCGUGCCAGCAGCCGCGGUAAUACGGAGGGUGCGAGCGUUAAUCGGAAUUACUGGGCGUAAAGCGCAUGCAGGUGGUUCAUUAAGUCAGAUGUGAAAGCCCGGGGCUCAACCUCGGAACUGCAUUUGAAACUGGUGAACUAGAGUGCUGUAGAGGGGGGUAGAAUUUCAGGUGUAGCGGUGAAAUGCGUAGCUACCUGCAGGAACAUCAG